GCGGGCGUGGUGGAAUUGGUAGACACAAGGGACUUAAAAUCCCUCGGCCUUGGCCUUGCGGGUUCGAUUCCCGCCGCCCGCA
rnacentral:tRNA from 1 species